UACGUAGGGGGCAAGCGUUUGUCCGGAAUUAUUGGGCGUAAAGAGCGCGUAGGCGGUCCGGUAAGUCGGUUGUGAAGGUCGGGGGGCUCAACCCUCGGAUGCCGAUCGAUACUGUCGGGCUAGAGUCCGGAAGAGGCGAGUGGAAUUCCUGGUGUAGCGGUGAAAUGCGCAGAUAUCAGGAGGAACACCAAUGGCGAAGGCAGCUCGCUGGGACGGUACUGACGCUGAGGCGCGAAAGCGUGGGGAGCAAACAGG
rnacentral:rRNA from 1 species